CUCUUCCGUCCACCCCUUUCCAAGUCCUCAGUGCCUCGGUCUCUCACCCUCUCUGCAUCCAAGACCCCCAGGCUCGGUUCCGGGCGCCACUUCCUCCUCUUCAGGUCAGAUCUGUUCCCCUGGACCCAGGUUCUCUGGUAGGUGACCUGGAAGGCCUUUGUCCCCGGGGGCGGGGCCGGCACCGGCACAGGACACCUGCAAUGUCACCGUCUUCCACGAGGGUGCGCGCUAGCUAGCACCACUUCUUAGAGCUGAGAGACCUUUCAAAUCCUGCUUAAGAGUCCCGGGCUUUCUCUACAGCCUUAUCAGAUAAGAGUCAUUAACAGGAGGUGGAGCUGAAGGAGAAAAGAAGCCCUAGUGAAAAGAAAGAAUGCAUAAAGUAGCCAACACUGCUGGGAGUUCUAGAGAUUAAGGGAAAACUUUCACUACCUGCUUCCUGACUUGAAUUUCAUAAAUUACGGUAUUGUUUAUUUUAUUACUGUUUUUGUGUUUUGUUUUUUAGAGACAGGGUUUCUUUGUGUAGCUCUGGUUGUCAUGAAACUUGCUCUGUAGAAUAGCUUAACCUCAAACUCACAGAGAUCCGCCUGCCUCUGCCUCCCAAGUGCUGGGAUUAAAGGCGUGCACCACCACCGCCUGGCACUUAUUUUACUAAUUUUUAAAAUUUGUAUUUUUAUAGGCUAGAGAGAUAACUGGGUGCUUCAAAGCUGCCGUUGAGGAGAACAUGGGUUCGAGUAUCAGCUCACAGCUGUUUGUAAUUCGUUUCAGUGAACCUGAUGCUCUCUCUGGUCUCCAUGGACUCCAGACACACAUGUGAUGCUCAGGCAGGCACACAUACAGGCAAAACAUCAAAACGCAUAAAAUAAGUUUUUUUUCUAAAUUUUGUAAAUAUGUGUGUGGGGAUUACAUGUAGGGGAAGGCAUGUGCCCACAGAAGCCAGAAGAGGGUGAUCUAUCCCUUGAAGCUGAAAUCACAGAUGGUUGUGAGCUGCCUGGCAUGGGUGGUGGGAACCAAACUCAGGUCUUCUGCAAGAUCAAUCGUCACUCUGAACUUCUGAACCAUCCUUCUGGUCCCUUUUUUAUUUUUUUUAUUAAAGAUUUAUUUAUUGUAUAUGAGUACACUGUAGCUGUCUUCAGACACAGCAGAAGAGGACAUCGGAUCUCAUUACAGAUGGUUGUGAGCCACCAUAUGGUUGCUGGGAUUUGAACUCAGGACCUCUGGGAGAACAGUUGGUGCUCUUAACGUUGAGCCAUCUCUCCAGCCUCCCCUUUUUUAUUUUCAACCUUAGAUGCCAUAUCUUUUGAGCUGUGCACCUCGUUUUGUUGUCAUUGUUGUACAUAUUUUACAACUUUGAGAGACUAUCUGUGUGUAUACAUACAUGUGUGCAAGUGCACACCACCAUGUAGGUGUGCCUUUGUGCAGACUAGAGGUCAGCACUGGGUGUCUUCCUCGGUUGUGCUCCAUCUUCUUCUCUGAGUCAGGGCCUCGGAUGAAGGCCGAAUCUUGUUGAUUCUGCUUUGGUGGCUGGCCGGCCGGCCUGCGAGCUCAGAGAGCCUCCUGUCUCCACCUCCACAGGGCUGGCAUUAUAGUUCCCGUGUUGGACAUGGAACCCAGGCCUUCGUGCUCAUGUGGCAGGCCUGAGCCAUCUCCCUGACCCCCGUGUACUCCCAUGUCACAAGGAGACGUACACAAAACCCGCCUGUCUCCAGAAACCCAAGUUCAGUUCUGCCCACUAGGUGCUGAGAAAGAUAACGUUGAGAAGGGGAUUUAGGGAUUUCUAAUUGCCAAGCUGUGCUGCUUCUACCUUCUACGCACAGUGAGGAGGAGAUCGGAAAGGAGAGAUUUGGGCUCAGAGGGGCAUGCAGGGGUGUGGAGCUGGAUUCAGACUUCUUAUGGUUUUGGUGUUUUCCUCUAUGAAUCAUCUCUGCCAUUGGCACUGAAGAGCAUGCGCCUCACACACUUAUGGUCCCAUGACCUCUAGGAAUUACUUGUAGGGAUUACAUGGAAUCUGUGAUGCCGCUACCAUUUUAAUUAUUGCAAUGUAUAAGCACAGAAGCAUGUGUGUAUGUAUGUGUGUGUACAUGUCUGUGUGCCUGUGUGCUUGUCUGUGUCCAUGUGUGCUCAUAUGUGUGUGUCCAUGUGCACAUGAGUGUGUGUGUGUGUGUGUGUACGAGCAUGUGUGCAUGUGCUCUUGUGCACAUGUGUGCACAUUUUUCCAUUUCUUUUUAAAAUGUUUUUAAUUUAAUUUUUUUUUUUUUUUAUGUUAUGAAAUCCGCCUGCUUCUGCCUCCGAAGUGCUGGGAUCAAAGGCGUGCGCCACCACCCCUCAGAGAGUCUUCCAUUUCUUUAAUCAGUUUUUCAGAAUCUGGUCUGAGGAUGUAGCUCAGUUGGGGUGCUUGCCUAACACGUUUGAGUGCUGUAUUCAAACCUAGGCAUCGCGUAAACACAGUGUGGUGGAGAACACCUGUAAUUCCAGGAGGCAGAAGGAUCAGAAGUCCUUGAGCAGCCUUGGUUAAUAGGGAGUUCAAUGCCGGCCUGGGCAGGCAUCUCUGAACCAAAAUAAACUUGAAUUUUCAGGUACAGGUUUUCCCUCUCUGAGUCCUUAGAACUGUGUGUGUGUGUGUGUGUGUGUGUGUGUGUGUGUGUGUGUGUUGUAAAGGGCAUUGCUUUCUGAUUUGUCUUUUUUAAUAUUUGAUGUCUCCUCUCUCUGUGUUUUUCAAGACUGGGUUUCUCUGUGAAGCCCUGGAUAUCCUGAACUCACUCUGUAGACCAGACUGGCUUGGUACUCAGAGAUCUGAGUGUCUCUGCCUGUCUUCCAAGUGCUAGGACUAAAGGCUUUUGCCACCACUGCCUGGCUAGAAAUAUUUCUCAAGAGCUAGAGAGGCAGCUCAUUAGUUAAGAGCGCUUGCUCUUGCAGAAGAGCAGUGUUGGGUUCCCAGCUCCUCGACCAGGUAGUUCACAUAGUCCAGGAACUCCAUCUCCAGGGGAUCCAACGCCUUCUUCUGGCCUCAGUGGGCACUUGCAGUUUCCUUGUACACAUAUUACUAAAUAAAAAGAAAUCUUUAGAAAAAUAAAAUAAACAACACAGCUGAGUAACUUAAAUUAUUCACAUGGCUCCCGGCUUGUGGCUGCCCAUUCUGCCUCACUAAGGUCGCAUCUUUGGAGUUAAAAUCAGUAUAGAGCUGAUGUUCUCCUUAAUCUUCAGACACCACAGUCACCUGUAGCUCCAGUUCCAGGGUUUUGAUGCCCUCUUCUAGUCUCUAAGGGCACUACACACUCGUAGUGAACAUACAUACAUACAUACUUGCAGGCAAAACAUUCGUACUCAUUAAAUUUUUUUUAAAG
rnacentral:lncRNA from 1 species